AGAAACUUAGGUUAAACCCCAAACCAGGGGCCUUCAAAGCCCUAAACAGAGGACUUCCCUCUAGUUUCUG
rnacentral:tRNA from 1 species